rfam:Ornithorhynchus anatinus chromosome 3, whole genome shotgun sequence.
GACCUCACUCAGGAUCGCACCUGGAGAGUUUGAGGUAUUCUACCAGUCUCAGCUACAGGAGGAAGAGUCAAGCGGAGACAUACCCAUUCCAUUCCUAGCUUGGGCAGUGGCUAGCGAGUGGAAGGUAAUUUGCCACAAGU